GCUGGGAUUACAGGCAUAAGCCACCAUGCCCGGCCAACAGUCAUGAUCUUUUCAAGGUUGUUUGUAAGAAGCCCACUUAGAAACGAUGAAACUUCUGACUCCAGAUGGAUGCCAAUUCAAAAGACAAGCCCCCUGGAACCAAGGAGUCUGCAAUGAAUAAUGCUGGAAACACCUCUUUCAUUUUGGGAACUGGGAAGACUAAUUCCUCAGAAGCAUGCCAAAUUACCUCCUAAUCCUUGCAUACCAGAUACUUUUAAAUCGCCUUUGAACUUUUCCACAGUAACCAUAGAGUAAUUGGGAAUUACACCCGAAAGCUUUGUUAGGAAUUCUACAGGAAAGUCAUCAUCAUACCUUAAAGAAUUCAGAAGACGUUCUGCAGUUGGGGUGCGGGGCUCUCCUGAAACAAACCAUCUAAUUCGUUUCAUUGCUCAGCAGCAAAAUAUAAAUAAUGGUAGGAAAUCUCCUUUGGCACAAGAUUCUCCUUCCCAGGGCAGCCCUGCACUGUAUCGAAAUUUUAACACUUUAAGAGAACGAAUAUCCACCUUCCAGUCAGCUUUUCACUUCAUAAGGGAAAACGAGAAAAUGACUGGCCGUCCAGAAUUCUCACAGGCAGGAAGGGUGUCCGAGGUGACAGACUUGACCAGAAAGGCAGAUCUUAGUGCAUGCCAGCAGUCUGAGUUCCCUGCAGUGUUGUCCUCCAAAUGUCAGAGAAUAUCCUAUCAGAGGGACUUUGAUGAAAAUCUAAUGGAUGCUGAAGGAAAAGCAACUGAUCUCCAGAUAUUCAAUGAUGAUACAGACAGAAGAUGUGCAGUUGAAACUUCUGCAGAUCUUUCUGAGAAAUCAUCUAAACCUGGUUCAACACAGUCUGGAUUUUUAGUUGAAAAGUUUUCCCCUUUCAGAGCUCACAGAGACUUCAAAUGCACUCAAGAUUGCUGACUGCAUAAGGAUCAAGCGAUGCCAUUUCACCUGACACGUUCACAGCAGAAGUGAGCUCAGACACAGUCCCUGAUGUCAAGGCACCAGCUACUCCAGUGUGCAGGAAGGACCUUCCCUCCCCUGAGACCUUUGUACUUCUCUCUGUUCUGAAGAAACCCUCUGUCAAGAUGUGUCUAGAGAGCUUAUAGGAACACUGUAACAACCUCUGUGAUGAUGAUGAUGGGACUCACCCAAGCAUAAUCUCAAAUCUCACAAACUGCUGCAAAGAUAGAGAAGUGGAAGAUGAAGAAAAGUUGGAAGCACCGGCCUUCCUAAAUAUGAGGAAGAGGAAGAGAGUUACUUUUGGAGAGAAGUUAAGCCCAGAAGUGUUUGAUGAAUCUUUGCCAGCAAAUACUCCAUUGUGUAAAGGAGGAAACUCUUUGUAAAAAGGACUUCAGUGGUCUCAGUUCCCCGCUGCUUGAGCAGUCACCAGUUCCUGAGCCAUUACCUCAGUCAGAUUUUGACAACAAAGGAGAGAGUCUUGAAAACAUAGAACCACUUCAAGUAUCAUCUGCUGUUCUGAGUUCUAAUAAGGCAUCAAUCUCUGAGACUCGUUGAGGCACUGACACCUUUAGUUCUUCAAAUAACCAUGAGAAAAUAUCGUCUAACAGAAGAAAUCAGUUGGUCAGUUUUGUAGAAGAGAGUGUUUGCAACUUACUAAAUACAGAAGCUCAGCCUUGUAAAGAAAAAAUAAUUAAUAGGAGGAAGUCUCAAGAAACAAAGUGUACAAAGAGAGCACUUCCUAAGAAUCAGGUUUUAAAAAGUUGCAGAAAGAAGAAAGGAAAGGGAAAGAAAAGUGUUCAGAAGUUUUUUAUAUCGGGGAAGAGCCUUUGCUUCUAAGAAGUCCCUCUUCAGUCCUAUUCCUAAGCUGCCUGAAGUCUCUGAGAUGAUACCUUCAGUUCCAAGUGUCCAAAGACUGGGUUCAGGAUAUUUCAAAUCAAAUGGCAAACUGGAAUAAGUGAAGGCUCCUAAAAAUCCAGUGGAAAAAAAGGAUCUUUUCCCUCAGGACCCAGAUUUGCAUAUGCAUCAAGGCUUUGGUAAAUAUAAUGUGUCUGAAUUCUCCUCAUACAUAAAAAGUUUCUAAUUGCUUGGUAAUGCUACUUCUGAUGAAGAUCUAAAUACAAAUAUGAUGAACAUUGAUGACAAUAAAAAUAUUCCAAAAGCAAAAAAUAUGUCAGAAAGUGAAAAUGAACCCAAAGCUGGAACUGAGGGUCCUAUUUCUUGUGCUUCUGUAACAGAACACGUGGCAUUAGAGAGUCCCAAACCUGCUCUGAUCCUGCAGCAGGGUCAAGAGUUUGCUGCUGCUGUUCAAAAUGCAGAAAACCUUUGUCAAAUCUUUAAAAUUUCACUAGAUCUAAACAUAAAGUGUGAAAGACAAGAUGACUUCUUAGUAGCUGCAGAAGGAAAACUGCAAUGCAGUCAUUUAAUGCCUAACUCACAAAAAGACUGUCAUUGUUUAGGAGAUGUCUUAAUUGAAAACAUGAAAGAAUCUAAAAGCGGAAGAAUACCCAUGGAAAGUAGCAGCGUUAUGAGUAGCAGAGACAGGAAACAUAGAAGACGCUCCAUGUAUUAUUCUGAUGGUCAAAGUUUACAUUUGGAAAAAAUGGAAAUCACACACCCUCCUACAGUGUAAGCAGCUCUUUAGACAUUAGUUUAGAAAAUUCUGAACUAUGUAAAUAUUUGUCUGACACCAUUGAACAAAUCUUUCAGAGGAGGAAUAGUGAAACCACAGUGUGACGUAGCAUGAGGCUACAGAAGGAUUUGGAAAAUGAAGGGCUUUGUGGAUUUCACUUCCACUUCCUUCCACUUCCCACAAAGCCAAAAGAACAGCAGUGAUUUUGGUAGUAUGUCUCCCAGAAAAGAAACUGUCCUCCAGACAAACCAGGAUGGCACCUCCCAUCUCAGAUCAAGAAAACAGCCAGGGCCCUGCUGCUGGUUUUCUGAUGAACCUGGUAAGAGGAGGAAGAGCUUCUGUGCGUCUACAUUUGCAAAUACUAAAGCCGCUUCCCAGUACAAGGGCUACCGGAGAAGAUCCUCUCUCAAUGGGAAGGGAGAGAGCUCUCUGACUGCCUUGGAAAGGAUUGACCAUAGCGGAGAAAGAAAACAAUAACUGACAUUUCCUGCAAAGCCUGUGGCAAGAGGGAAAGUAACCAUCUAUGCUGAAAUGAUCUGUCUAGUUCCCAUCCUCUGUUCAACUCGGUGUUUAAAAAGUUCCUAAUAAAUAAACUCAUUUGAGUUGAACC